UACAGGGGGGGCAAGCGUUGUUCGGAAUUACUGGGCGUAAAGGGUCUGUAGGUGGCUUGCUAAGUCAGACGUGAAAUCCCUCAGCUUAACUGGGGAACUGCGUCUGAUACUGGCAAGCUUGAGUGCAGGAGAGGAACGCGGAAUUCCAGGUGUAGCGGUGAAAUGCGUAGAGAUGUGGAGGAACACCGAUGGCGAAGGCAGCCCCCUGGGCUAACACUGACGCUCAGGCACGAAAGCGUGGGGAGCAAACAGG
rnacentral:rRNA from 1 species